rnacentral:rRNA from 1 species
UACGUAGGCAGCGAGCGUUGUUCGGAGUUACUGGGCGUAAAGGGUGUGUAGGCGGUUGUUUAAGUUUGGUGUGAAAUCUCCCGGCUCAACCGGGAGGGUGCGCCGAAUACUGAAUGACUUCGAGUGCGGGAGAGGUGAGUGGAAUUCCUGGUGUAGCGGUGAAAUGCGUAGAGAUCCGGAAGAACACCGGUGGCGAAGGCGGUCUGCUGGGCAGUAGCUGACACUGAGGCGCGACAGCGUGGGGAGCAAACAGG